GACGAACGCUGGCGGCGUGCUUAACACAUGCAAGUCGAACGGAAAGGCCCUGCUUUUGUGGGGUGCUCGAGUGGCGAACGGGUGAGUAACACGUGAGUAACCUGCCCUUGACUUUGGGAUAACUUCAGGAAACUGGGGCUAAUACCGGAUAGGAGCUCCUGCUGCAUGGUGGGGGUUGGAAAGUUUCGGCGGUUGGGGAUGGACUCGCGGCUUAUCAGCUUGUUGGUGAGGUAGUGGCUUACCAAGGCUUUGACGGGUAGCCGGCCUGAGAGGGUGACCGGCCACAUGGGGACUGAGAUACGGCCCAGACUCCUACGGGAGGCAGCAGUGGGGAAUAUUGCACAAUGGGCGGAAGCCUGAUGCAGCAACGCCGCGUGCGGGAUGACGGCCUUCGGGUUGUAAACCGCUUUCGCCUGUGACGAAGCGUGAGUGACGGUAAUGGGUAAAGAAGCACCGGCUAACUACGUG
rnacentral:rRNA from 1 species